UACAGAGGGUGCGAGCGUUAAUCGGAAUUACUGGGCGUAAAGCGUGCGUAGACGGUUAUGUAAGUCAGGUGUGAAAGCCCCGGGCUCAACCUGGGAAUUGCAUUUGAGACUGCAUAGCUAGGGUGCGGAAGAGGGAAGCGGAAUUUCCGGUGUAGCGGUGAAAUGCGUAGAUAUCGGAAGGAACACCAGUGGCGAAAGCGGCUUCCUGGUCCAGCACCGACGUUCAGGCACGAAAGCGUGGGGAGCAAACAGG
rnacentral:rRNA from 1 species